rnacentral:rRNA from 1 species
GCUUGUCUCAAAGAUUAAGCCAUGCAUGUCUUAGUGUAAAUAACUCUUAUGAAACUGCGAAUGGCUCAUUAAAUCAGUUAUCGUUUAUUUGAUGGUCCCUUACUACAUGGAUAACCGUAGUAAUUCUAGAGCUAAUACAUGCACAAAGGCCCGACUCACGAAGGGCUGUAUUUAUUAGAUACAAACCAACAUCGUGGUGAUUCAUAAUAACUUUGCGAAUCGUAUGCCUCACGGCGACGAUGAAUCAUUCAAAUUUCUGCCCUAUCAACUUUCGAUGGUAGGAUAUGGGCCUACCAUGGCAUUAACGGGUAACGGGGAAUUAGGGUUUGAUUCCGGAGAGGGAGCCUUAGAAACGGCUACCACAUCCAAGGAAGGCAGCAGG